rnacentral:rRNA from 1 species
CUCCUACGGGAGGCAGCAGUAGGGAAUAUUGGACAAUGGGGGCAACCCUGAUCCAGCCAUGCCGCGUGAGUGAAGAAGGCCCUCGGGUUGUAAAGCUCUUUUGUCCGGAAAGAAAAGCAAUCGGUUAAUACCCGGUUGUUCUGACGGUACCGGAAGAAUAAGCACCGGCCAACUUCGUGCCAGCAGCCGCGGUAAUACGAAGGGUGCAAGCGUUACUCGGAAUUACUGGGCGUAAAGCGUGCGUAGGUGGUUCGUUAAGUCUGAUGUGAAAGCCCUGGGCUCAACCUGGGAAUGGCAUUGGAUACUGGCGGGCUAGAGUGCGGUAGAGGGUAGUGGAAUUCCCGGUGUAGCAGUGAAAUGCGUAGAGAUCGGGAGGAACAUCUGUGGCGAAGGCGACUGCCUGGACCAGCACUGACACUGAGGCACGAAAGCGUGGGGAGCAAACAGGAUUAGAUACCCUGGUAGUCCACGCCCUAAACGAUGCGAACUGGAUGUUGGGUUCAACUUGGAACUCAGUAUCGAAGCUAACGCGUUAA